UACGUAGGGGGCGAGCGUUGUCCGGAUUCAUUGGGCGUAAAGAGCUCGUAGGCGGGAUGGCAAGUCGGUCGUGAAAUCCCUCGGCUCAACUGAGGAUCGUCGAUCGAUACUGCCGUUCUUGAGGAUUGCAGAGGAGACUGGAAUUCCCGGUGUAGCGGUGAAAUGUGUAGAGAUCGGGAGGAACACCGGUGGCGAAGGCGGGUCUCUGGGCAAUUCCUGACGCUGAGGCGCGAAAGCGUGGGGAGCAAACGGG
rnacentral:rRNA from 1 species